rnacentral:rRNA from 1 species
UGCGUAGGGUGCAAGCGUUAAUCGGAAUUACUGGACGUAAAGCGUGCGCAGGCGGUUUUGUAAGUCUGUCGUGAAAUCCCCGGGCUCAACCUGGGAAUGGCGAUGGAUACUGGCGAGCUAGAGUGUGUCAGAGGAUGGUGGAAUUCCCGGUGUAGCGGUGAAAUGCGUAGAGAUCGGGAGGAACAUCAGUGGCGAAGGCGGCCAUCUGGGACAACACUGACGCUGAAGCACGAAAGCGUGGGGAGCAAACAGG